UGUUUGCAUUGCAAGUGACAUCUGGCUGACAGGAACUUGGAGAAAUGGGAUGCGAAGUGAAUGCUGCAGUUACCACAGCAUUAUAUUUAUCAAAAGGUUUAAGACCAUUCUCUGUCUGUGGUGAAAGGCAGGUUGGUCAAAGGUCUGAUCCUUUUGGAAGCCACGUUCUGGCACUUUCUUCUUUUGGGGUGAAGAUGAAAGUGAUUGAACGGCAUUCAACAUAAACAUCCUUUCUUUCUCAAGAAGACGUUAGUAGCACCUACAUGUACACAUAUCCUACAGGAACUGAGUGCUCCAGAUGAUGUUCAAGAUAAAGUGAAUCAAAGUACUUGCAGACAUCAUGUCGGGCUGAAAUUCUAAGGAGACACUCCCUAUGAUUCAUGGGAGAGGAAGAAGAAAUAAAAGUUAUUCCACUACUGCAUGGAGAGAGUCCUAACUGCAGUUGUGCAGCACUGCUGAUAACAGGCCAAAACAGCAUCCUGUCAGGAUACUGCUGGAGUACUUUGUUUGACUCGUCAAAACUUCAGACGGAUUCACUGCAUUGUCUGGACACUGGAGAUCCAGUUCAGAAGCAAAAGAACGUUUUAUCUGUUGAGCAGGAGACAAGAUGGGUUGUGAUGCUCUGCUGCACUUUUGUGACUGCAAAAACUUGAUUAUUCACCAGAAGUGUGUGUUUACCUGGACACAAAAGGAUUUUUAUAUAGAAGAUAGUACAGGAGGCAGAGAAUCUACAGCACAGGUAAGUCACUCAGCUGAUGAUAUUUACAAAUUUUGACAAAAAGUAUUGCAUUUAAUGUGCAAUAAACAAUUUGCAGUUCAAGAAAGCA
rnacentral:lncRNA from 1 species